UAGGCAGCACGUAUACUAAAAAAAAAAAAUUGGAAUGAUACAUUGAAGAUUAGCAUGGCCCCUGCACAAGGAUGACACGUAAAUUUGUGAAGCGUUCCAUAUUUAA